GGGGAGAUGUGAGAGUGGUUGAAUCAGCGAUCCUGGAAAGAUCGUAGGUCGCUAACGCGGCCUCGAGGGUUCGAAUCCCUCUCUCCCCGCCA
rnacentral:tRNA from 1 species